CAGGCUUAACACAUGCAAGUCGAGGGGCAGCAUUUCAGUUUGCUUGCAAACUGGAGAUGGCGACCGGCGCACGGGUGAGUAACACGUAUCCAACCUGCCGAUAACUCGGGGAUAGCCUUUCGAAAGAAAGAUUAAUACCCGAUGGUAUAAUCAGACCGCAUGGUCUUGUUAUUAAAGAAUUUCGGUUAUCGAUGGGGAUGCGUUCCAUUAGGCAGUUGGUGAGGUAACGGCUCACCAAACCUUCGAUGGAUAGGGGUUCUGAGAGGAAGGUCCCCCACAUUGGAACUGAGACACGGUCCAAACUCCUACGGGAGGCAGCAGUGAGGAAUAUUGGUCAAUGGGCGCAGGCCUGAACCAGCCAAGUAGCGUGAAGGAUGACUGCCCUAUGGGUUGUAAACUUCUUUUAUAUGGGAAUAAAGUUUUCCACGUGUGGAAUUUUGUAUGUACCAUAUGAAUAAGGAUCGGCUAACUCCGUGCCAGCAGCCGCGGUAAUACGGAGGAUCCGAGCGUUAUCCGGAUUUAUUGGGUUUAAAGGGAGCGUAGGUGGACAGUUAAGUCAGUUGUGAAAGUUUGCGGCUCAACCGUAAAAUUGCAGUUGAUACUGGCUGUCUUGAGUACAGUAGAGGUGGGCGGAAUUCGUGGUGUAGCGGUGAAAUGCUUAGAUAUCACGAAGAACUCCGAUUGCGAAGGCAGCUCACUGGACUGCAACUGACACUGAUGCUCGAAAGUGUGGGUAUCAAACAGGAUUAGAUACCCUGGUAGUCCACACAGUAAACGAUGAAUACUCGCUGUUUGCGAUAUACAGUAAGCGGCCAAGCGAAAGCAUUAAGUAUUCCACCUGGGGAGUACGCCGGCAACGGUGAAACUCAAAGGAAUUGACGGGGGCCCGCACAAGCGGAGGAACAUGUGGUUUAAUUCGAUGAUACGCGAGGAACCUUACCCGGGCUUAAAUUGCAUUUGAAUAUAUUGGAAACAGUAUAGCCGUAAGGCAAAUGUGAAGGUGCUGCAUGGUUGUCGUCAGCUCGUGCCGUGAGGUGUCGGCUUAAGUGCCAUAACGAGCGCAACCCUUAUCUUUAGUUACUAACAGGUCAUGCUGAGGACUCUAGAGAGACUGCCGUCGUAAGAUGUGAGGAAGGUGGGGAUGACGUCAAAUCAGCACGGCCCUUACGUCCGGGGCUACACACGUGUUACAAUGGGGGGUACAGAAGGCAGCUACCUGGUGACAGGAUGCUAAUCCCAAAAGCCUCUCUCAGUUCGGAUCGAAGUCUGCAACCCGACUUCGUGAAGCUGGAUUCGCUAGUAAUCGCGCAUCAGCCAUGGCGCGGUGAAUACGUUCCCGGGCCUUGUACACACCGCCCGUCAAGCCAUGAAAGCCGGGGGUACCUGAAGUACGUAACCGCAAGGAGCGUCCUAGGGUAAAACUGGUAAUUGGGGCUA
rnacentral:rRNA from 1 species